AUAUAUCUUACAGUCAGUCACAUCUUAAUUCUAUGAAAUACUGUAUGAUGAAAAUCAAUGCAAAGACAUAAUUCUUUUACAUCUUCAUAAUUUUAUCUAUAUUACAAUUAGUACUUUGGUACAUAUCUUAAAAACUUUUUCUCCUUGAUCAGGUUUCUCCUGUUGGUAGUCCACAGCCUAGCUGCUGUUUUGUUCAGCAGGCCCUUUGAAGAUAGAGCCAUGGGUGUAUUUAAUGAAGAGAGCCAUAUACUCAUGGAGGCAAUGAGCUGUUAUUGAGCUGUUGAAGUGUUCUUACCAUUUCUUUGUUUACUUUUUCAAGAGAAACACAUUUUUUAAAAAACUUAGGCACUCGGUCUGGAAAAAGUAGGGCUAAAUCAUGAAGGUCAUGUGUUGGAUGGAUUUAUUCACCAAAUCCAGAGUUAGGUUACUUCUUCAUGAAGCAGAUAUAUAUAACUUUGAAGGAAAAUAAAAGCAUAAUGGUAAUUGUGAACAUGGAACUAUCGGAUGUUUAGGCUUAGAUGGUAGGGAUGAGAAAGGAAUUAAUUGAUAAAGGAAUAUCAGUGAAUAUAAGUUACUGGAUUUAAAAACUUAAAGAUAGCAGCUAUACACUCUUAUAAAACAUAUUUUGGUGACAUUUACCUAAGAGACAAAGAACUGAACUUGAUUAUUACUCUAAUUCAGUAUGGUAUUUCUUAUUACAUAUAUUCAAGGAUGAAGCAAGCAGCUUGAAGGUAAGCAGAUCAGUGUUCAGAUUUUUAACUGGUAAAAUGAGAGUUUAGAACAGAAGGAAAGACAACCAGUGAAGAUAUUUCCAGUCUAUGGUCUAUAAUGCUUUAUUCCUUGCAAGCUUUGGGUGCUAUAAGAGUUAAAAGUUCAAGCUGAAAAAUCUAGCAAAAAACACUCUGAAAAGCUAUACUUUUUUAUGUCAUUGCUCUUUGGUGCUAAGAGGUUCUCAAGAAGGUGAGUAUCUUAUGUACCAUUUGUGCUGUAAUAUUUAAUUACAGUGAGUGUACAGAAGAUUAGCUGUCUCAAAGAUCCUUUUGAAAUUAGAUUGCACAUCAAAACUGCAUUGUGCCCUGCUAAGUAAGCAAAUUUAAGAAAGAGGAGAAGGUGAUGUCAAGACUUAUUGCAAAAUGAACAAAUAAAGGAAUAGGAUUUGCUUGGUGUUCAGCCUAUUAAAGCAUGGCCAAAUGUCAGCCUUCAUUUGUCAACUUAAAUAUGUUUUUCUAAAAUUGGAAGAAAGUAUCCCUUAGCUAGUAUUUGAACUUGAGAAAUAAAUUAAGCAACACAAAAUGCUGAAUAGAUUAUAUUAAUAACUCAAUUUCUCAUAGUGACUAAUUACCACACAACUAUAUACAUUAGUAAUUCAGUUACAAAUACUUGUCUUUUUUGUUAUUUUUCUGAUUAUAAUAUUAAUACGUGUGUUUUUGCUCCCUGAUACAUGAGGUUUUAGACUCUCAGAAGUUAACUUCUUAUCUGCAAGAGCUAGACCCCCUCCCCCAACAAACCAUACACUGAAGUAUUUCAGGUCUCCAGGGAUUUCUCUCAUCAAAAAAAGAAGUAAAAGUAAAAUUUUUUAAAUCCAAGAGCUAAACCCUAUGUAACCAGGAAGGCUAAGGUAGCUUGGAGCCUGAAUUGGACUUGGUGGAAAUAACCAGGAACAUAGAUGAGGAUCUCGGUCCAGAGUAAGAAAGUUCGUAAGUGCUUGAAACCAGAGUGAUAGAGAACCUGAAAUCUGCUUUGUGGCAGAGUGGGAUUUCCCUGAGGCCAGAAUUCUAUAUACUGACAGUGUGUGAGUAUAUUCAGCCUUCAGAAUGAUGAGGUGGAGAAUAUUCCUCUAAGCUAAAACCCUCAAGGAGGUCCUGACACGUCCUGAGACAAGUGUACACACAAAGAGAGACACAUGCGUAUGACUGCCUGAAACAGAAGAAACCAUCCCAGGAGACUCUCAGAUUAUAAUCAAGUUUAAGCUCUUAAACAAAGACUACCAAGUCCACUCUUAGUGAGAAUCAGCAGAGACAAUAAAUUUAGACCACAAAGAAUGCAGUGGUUGGAACUAAAGACAGAAUGCAUUAAAGCUAUGUAUGAAACAAUGAAAUUACAAAAAUGAAUUUUUUAAAAACUAUAGGUUGGGAAUUUGGCAUUAAUAGAUGCAAACUAUUGCCUUUGGAAUGGAUAAGCAAUGAGAUCCUGCUGUAUAGCACUGGGAACUAUAUCUAGUCAUUUAUGAUGGAGAAUGAUAAUGUGAGAAAAAAGAAUGUAUACAUAUAUGUGUAACUGGGUCACUUUGCUGUACAGUAGAAAAUUGAUGGAACAUGGUAAACCAGCUAUAAUGGAAAAAAUAAUUAUUAUAAAAUAAAAAACUAUGUUGUGACUGAGUAACAGUAUUAGACUUACUGUUCUAUCUUAAACUAUAGCACUGUACUCUUCAGAGACUUGAUCCUUGAGAGAAAGGAUACUCAUGUAGUGGCCUCUACAUUCACUCUAGCUUGCUGCCUAGAAGUCUUUUACAAAUUGCAGCAGAAGGAAAAUAAGCCCAAACAUAAAACAGAUGUUUUGUGGAAUGCAAGAAAUGAGGAAACAGCUACUGGAGGUCACACAGGGCUGUGAGAUGUUGGUGUUCAAAUCAGCCAGAGUUUAAAGGCUUCACUGAACAAUCCAAGAAUUAAAUUAGGGACAUACCUCAGGAAUAAGACUACUCUAGAGUAGACUCUGGACCAUGAUGAAACCAAAAACUCAUCCUUAAUAGGAGCAAGCUGAUCUGCCAGCAUAGUAACUACCACCCAAACAAGAUUCAGUACUUCCUAAAGGAAAAUAACAAGAUCCCUAUUUUCAGUAAUGUAAUAUCCACAACGUCCAUUAUAAAGUAGACAAAUAUUAUAUAUGCUAAGCAAGAAAAUGUGACCUUAGAGGAAAAAGGAAUCCAUAGAAACAAGGGUUUCAGUUAGUAAGUACAAACUUUCAAAGCUCUUUUAAAUAUGUUAAAAUAUUUAAAGGUAAAGACAUAAUGAGAGAAGAAAUGGGAAUUAGAUAUAGAAAAAUUAAAACUAAAAAAUAACAAAUGCAAAGAUUGGAAAAUACAAUAUUUAAAAUUUAAAAAUAUAUAUAUAUAUGGACUUAAUAGAAGAUUGGGGACAGAGUAAGAAAGGAUCAGUAAACUUGAAAGCAGAGAAGUGCAGACUAGCCAAACUGAGGCACAAAAACAAAAAGUUACUGGGGUAAAAGAUGGUAGUGCAUCAGUGACCACAUUAAGCAAUCUACCCUAAGUAUAACUAUAGAUCAGAAGGGGAAGGAGAAGGGUGGGAGUGGGGCAGACAAAUAUUCAAAGAGAUAGUGGCGAAAAUUUUUCCAAAUUUGAAGAAAUACAUAAACCAGAGUUUCAGCAAACCCUAGUAAACCUGUAUCUCAUUAUAUCCUAGCCAAAUUACUGAAAAGGCAAAGAAAAAAAUUUUUAAUCUUGAAAACAUCCAGAGACAAAAUUUUUAAUCUUGAAAACAUCCAAAAUACACAAUGUUAGUGAUAAUACCUGCUUAUCAGUAACAAUGGAGAAUAAAAGAGUGGUAUAAUAUCUUUAAAAUAUAGAAAGAAAAAAGGAAAUGCAACCUAGAUUAUUAUAAUCAGCAAAGUAGCCUUUGAAAAAUAACGGAAAUAAAGACACUUCCAUAUAAAAAUUGUCAAGGAGCAUGCAACCAACAGACCUUCAUGACAAGGAAAGUCCAAAGAAAUUCUUCAGCCUGUUGGGAAAUGAAACCAGCCAGAAAUUUUUAUCUAUUUAAAAUAAUGAAGUUUGCCACAAACGGUAAAUUCUUAGAAAAUACACAUUUUUUCCUUAAACACAUAAAAAGGUAAUCAACUGUCUAAAGCAGAAAUAAUAUAGUGUGGAGUUUAUCAUUAAAAUGUUUGAUAAUACCAUAAAGGACAGAAAGGGGUAAAUGGAAGUAUCCUGCUCUAAGAGUCUUACAUUAUAGUGCUUUGAUAUAAUAUUCACUCAAUCAAUGUGUAUUUUAUCUAUGGAACCAUAGAUGAAAUAAAGUGCAAUAAUAAAAGUAUAUUGACUAAUCCAAAAUAAGGC
rnacentral:lncRNA from 1 species